rnacentral:rRNA from 1 species
GACGAACGCUGGCGGCGUGCUUAACACAUGCAAGUCGAACGGAAAGGUCCGGCUUUUGUGGGGUGCUCUAGUGGCGAACGGGUAAGUAACACGUGAGUUACCAGCCCUUGCCUUUGGGAUAACUUAAGGAAACUGGGGCUAAUCCCGGAUAGGAUCUCUUGCUUCAUGGUGGGGGCUGGAAGGUUUCGGUGGUUGGGGAUGGACUCGCGGCCUAUCGGCUUGUUGGUGGGGUAGUGGCUUACCAAGGCUUUGACGGGUAGCCGGGCUGAGAGGGUCACAGGCCACAUUGGGACUGGAAUGAGGCACGGCCCCGUCCGGGAGGGAAGGGAGGAGAAGAUAGUACUAUGGGCGGGAGCCAGAUGUAGCCACGCCGCGUGGGGGAUGACGGGCUGGGGGUUGUAUUGCACAUUCGCCUGUGACGAAGCGUGAGUGACGGUAAUGGGUAAAUAAGCACCGGCUAACUACGUG